AUGGGGCCCGGGGGAGGGAUGGGGUCCCGAGGGAUGGGAUGGGGUCCGGGGAAGGGAUGGGGUCCCGAGGGAGGGAUGGGGUCCGGAGGGAUGGGAUGGGGUCCCGAGGGAGGGAUGGGGUCCGGGGAAGGGAUGGGGCCGCCAGGGAGGGAUGGGAUGGGGUCCGGAAGGAGGGAUGGAGUCGCCAGGGAGGGAUGGAGUCCCGAGGGAUGGGAUGCGGCCGCCAGGGAUGGGGUGGGGCCCCAAGGGAUGGGGCCGCCAGGUAGGAGGGAUGGGGGUCCUGUGGGAUGGGAUGGGGCCCCGAGGGAUGGGGUCGCCAGGGAGGGAUGGGGACCCCAAGGAUGGGAUGGGGCCGCCAGGGAGGGAUGGGGUCCCGAGGGAGGGAUGGGGACCCCAGGGAUGGGAUGGGGCCGCCAGGGAGGAAUGAGGUCGCCAGGGAUGGGGCCCCGAGGGAUGGGGCGCCCCCGGCCCGCAAGUUCACGGGGCCGCAGUCCUCCUGCGGCCGCGGCCCCCAGCCCCCAGACUCCGGACCCCGGACCCCGACCCCCGGCCCCCAGCCCCCGGCCCGGGCAGCCGGGGCGCGACCCCCCAACUCUGCGGAGCGCGGCCACCGCGAGGUGCCGGCCUCCCCGAAGCCCCGGCGCAGCGCCCCGACGACCGCCGUCCUCCGCGCCCCGCAGCACUCGAACCCCGCGCCCGGGGGCCGCCUCGGGGGAGCCGGCGCGGUGCGGCGCGGCGCGGCGCGGAGGAGGGCGCCCCCGAGCCCCGGGCCCCGCUCCCGGCGUGCAGGGCCGCGCGGCCGCUCACCUGGGUCCCCGGCGCGGCUCCCGCAGUCCCGGCGGCACUUGGUCCCGUAGUUUCGGAAGCCGGGGCGCGGGCGCGGGCUCGGGCGGGCGGGCGGGGCGGGGCGGGGCGGGCCGAGCGGGGGCGGGGGGCGGGGGGGGCGCGGGGGGCUCAGGGCGCGCGGCGCGCGGGGCGGGGCGGGGGCGGGCGGCGGGGGCUGCAGGGGCUGCAGGGGCUGCAGGGCGCGCUCCCGCGGCGCAGGCUCGCCCAGGCCCGGGGCCGCCGUGCGGGGGGCGGCGCGCAUCCUCCCGGGCCCGCGGCGCCGAGGGCCUCCGGGCAGCAGCGCUCCGGGCCGCGGGGUCCCCCUCCCGGCGGCGGUCCCGGCCCGAGCUCGGCUGCGGGCGCGCGCGUCUGGGCGAACCCGGCCCCGCCGGCUGCGGACUGGCUGCGGCCCCCCCGCCCCUCCCUCCUCCGCGCCCCGCCCCGCCCCGGCUCCUCCCCGCCCGGCGCGCCCCGCUCCCAGAGGCGGGCCGCAGCCGCAGCGCGGGGCUGGGAGGUGCGGGGGCGGCGCGGGGGUCCCCCCCGGAGGGCGCAGGCCGGGACCCCGCGGGAGCCCCGGGGGCGGGGGGCGGGGGGAGGCGGGGGCGGGGCGCACAGGUGCGGGGGGCGGGGCGGGGAGCGGGGGGGGGGGGCGGCCUGCUGUGCGCGUCCCGAGGCGCAGGGGGCGAUCACCGCCCGGCUGCCAGCCCGCCCGCCCGCGCCGAC
rnacentral:lncRNA from 1 species